GGUUUGUCACGAUCCAAGUUUGACCUCCGUGAACUGUCGUGACAGCACCUAAUCUUUACGAUUGGGUAAGCCUCAUAAUUGCGAAAAAAGAAACAAAAUGCGGAAAAACUAAUAAAAAAUGAAGAUGAACAAAUAUAGAAGUGUUUAAGAUGUCGUUCGGCAUAUACCAAUACAAGAUCUCAAAAACUGAACAAUUCCCAAAACUCAAAAUCUCAUGAAAUCACAAGCUUUAGAAUAACUACAAGUGUCUAACUCCAGAAUGUCUAAACAAAUGUAAAUACAAAAGGGCUAAUAUUAUGAGAGAGAAUGGAAAGGGACUCCUUGGUCUGCGGACGCGGAAGAUAUACCUCGAAGUCUCUAGAGGAUUGCCUUGCCUCAAGGGUAAUGGGACUGAGUCGAAGUACCUGAAUCUACAGCUGAAAAAUAUGCGCAGAAAGGGUAUGAGUACACCACAACGAUAGUCAGUAAGUGCCAAGCCUAAUCUCAAUCGAGUAGUGACGAGGAAGGUCAGGACCCUACUGAUUGUAGCUCAAAAACAAUGUAAAAUAGUAUAGAAUAUGAAAUAUAAUUAAAUGCUAACAGUAUAAAGUAACACAGGAUAAUAAUAAUUACAACUACUAUAACAGAGACAAUCACAAAAGAAAUACAACUCAACACAGGGAUAACAAUCGGGGAUCUCUCAGUAUCCCGAGGAUCUCUUAGUAUCUUCAAUAUGUAUGUUAGGGAUCUCUUAAUAUCCUCUAUAUAUGUGUUGGGGAUCUCUCGAUAUCCCAAGUAUCCCUUAGUAUCCUCAAUAUAUGUGUUGGGGAUCUCUCGAUAUCUCGAGGAUCUUUUAGUAUCCUCAAUAUACGUAUGGGGGAUCUCUCGGUAUCACGCACAAUAGUUCAAAUCAAUAUAUGUGCAAGGGAUCUCCUGGAAUAUAAAUUCGUAGUCCCAAAGUAAACAAGCAGGGUGAUCUAUCGGGAUACGGUUCUGUAGUACCAAAGUAAACAGACAGCAGCAACAUGAAGGAUACUCAAUUAAAUUCAAAUUUCAUACCAAGGUAAAAUCGGUAAUUUCAUGAUGGCAUUCUACAAACCGUAGGGGCAAGGUACAAGCAAGUGGGCAGAAGCUUGUGCACUACUAUUUGGCAUCAAUUGGUGCAUUCAAAAAGGCCACAACCUUAUCAUUGGUGAAACUGAUUCACUACUCCUAAAAAUGUACAUAACUGGUACAUGGUCUUCUCCAUGGAGGAUUGCAAACAAUAUGAGACAGCUAAAGACUGGUGUAUAAUAAUGGGAUAAUCAUCAGACAUUGAUUAAGGGAAACAAACAGAGUGGCGGAUAAAAUGGCUUCCUUGAGCCACAAGACUAGUGUUGUAUAUAUAAACACUAAUUUUGAUACCUUACCUCGUCAGGUUAAUCUUCCUACUUUUCAAUUCAUGAAGAGAAAACCAAGCAAACUUAGAUAUGAGCCGCCUUGAUAUACUAGCUUUAUUGUCAAAUUUUGUUGUUUUGCUUUAGAGGAAGUGUUAGUGUUUACUACUAGCUGUUUGACUCUAUCUACUCUUGUAAAGAAGGCAUGGAUAUACCCUUCCUUCUUCAACUGUAAUUUCUUCAAAAGUGAAUCACACGAAAUACCUUUUAAGUUUAAAACAAAAAACUUAGUAUGCUGCACUUAAUCCAAAUAAGGCAGAUUAAGCAAGUAAAGCAAUUAAGUCUGUCACACCUCCUUUUCCAUGCCACCCCAAAGAAUAGUGUAUAAGGAAAAUUUUCUAAUUUAAGUGAUAUUAUUCGAAAUGGAAUUAUUUAUUUAGCAGAGUCACCACUUGAGAUAAUUUAUUUAGCGUUCUAAGUCACUGGUUUAUUUUGAAUCCCAAAUCGAGGAAAUUUUUUACUUUCUAAGUAAAGUCUGCGAACCAGAAAUUCUUGAGUAAGGAAUUCUAUUAACCCGGGGAAGGUGUUAGGCACCCCUGGAUUCCGCAGUUCUACCACGAUCACUUAAACUAUCAUAAUUCGCAUAUUACAUGAUUUUAAUACAUGUUUCAAUCAAUAGAGCAAUUUUAAAUUACUUACCGCUUUAAAUUAAUUUUUAAGGAAUUUUGCAACAUUAUUAAAACACAUCUCGAAUCACGUCACAUAAAUGAACCCGUAGUUUUUGACAUAUUUUAACGCGGUUGAAAUUUGAAUUUGGGUCACAUAAAUGUGCAUCCGAGUUUAAGAAGGUAAUUUAAAUUACGUAUCUAAAGCAACUACACACUUUCAAGUUUGCGAGGGCCAUGAAAAAUUAAAUUAAUUGCACACAUCAAUUUCUAAAAGGUUAAAACGAUUAAUUUUAAUUUAAACAAAUGCUUACUCAUGAACCCUUAUCUGUAUAAAAAUCACCAGUCAAUUUGCAUGGAAAGAAGUAAAGUCAUUAAAGUGAAUUAAGCUACCUCACUAGUUACGAUAAUAUGACUUCAAUGUACAAACUUUCUUUUACCUUUUGAUCAACUUACAAAGCAGUCUGCCUAUUCAAAAAUUAAAUAUACCACAUGUGCACACAGAUCUUGAUAACAAAUAAGCUAGCAAUGAGAUGAGUGUACAAUAAUUGACCAAACAGCUAAUAGAAGUCAUUUGUAAUACACCGUCCUUGAUUUUGGAUAAUUCAAAUCUCCAUAGACAAACAUAAAAACAAAGAUUUAUUGAAGACACUCCCAUCAUCAAGACAACCUUUUCUUCUUGGUGCAAAAUAAAAUUAAACAAAAGCAUACAUAAAUUUUUUUUCUUUUUUGUUAUUUCUGAUGACUUGUAACUAAUUCAUGCAACAAUCAAUUAAAGAUUCAUAGAAUCAAGGAACGUUCUUAAAUUAUCAAACAAAACUAAAGUAUAUCACAAUACAGUAAUAUUCCGUUAUAAAAAUCAAAACUACAAUGAAAACUUACUCAAUGGAAUUGUGUUGGGUAUUCCUAUGAGUUCAGCAGCAGCUGCGUAGAAACAAAAGCUUCCACAUGAAGUAGCAGCGAUUUCCUCAGCAAACCAGAAAAUUAAGGCCAAAAACCAGAAGAAAAGGGAAGCUCUUUGUUCGAGUUCUAAUUUUCCCUUCUAACUUGGAGCUUUUUGAGUUUUCCGAAUCUGGGAUUCAGGAGUUUUUAGUGUUUUUCAUGUGGUGAAUUGAAGAAGAACUUCGUCUAAUCUGAGUGAAAGGGGAAGGCUUUCCACAAAAUGGGGAAGGGUUCUAAUUUUUUGUCUCUAGUGUCUAAGUCGGUGCAAAAUGGGGAAGGAGAUGGCCUUCUCUGUCAAAAUGAGAGAGGCGCCGUUGGCUUUUGUUUUUAGGGGACUAAGGGUGAGAUCUAGGAUAUGUUCUUGUCUUCCAUGGAAAAUUGGAGGAGAAGCUUUUUGAAGAUGGUGAAGGAAUGCUCAAUCUCAUAAUAGNNNN
rnacentral:lncRNA from 1 species